rnacentral:rRNA from 1 species
UACAGAGGGUGCGAACGUUGUUCGGAAUUACUGGGCAUAAAGAGCACGUAGGCGGCACCGCAAGUGUGGGGUGAAAUCCCACGGCUUACCCGUGGAACUGCCUGGCAGACUGCGGUGCUAGAGGUUGGUAGGGGAGAGCGGAACUCUUGGUGGAGCGGUGAAAUGCGUAGAUAUCAAGAGGAACACCGGUGGCGAAGGCGGGUCUCUGGGCAGUAACUGACGCUGAGGAGCGAAAGCGUGGGGAGCGAACAGG